rnacentral:rRNA from 1 species
AGAGUUUGAUUCUGGCUCAGAACGAACGCUGGCGGCGUGGAUAAGACAUGCAAGUCGAACGGGAAUUUUUUUGGUAGCAAUACCGAAAAAAUUUCAGUGGCGAACGGGUGCGUAACACGUGGGCAAUCUGCCGAGAAGUGGGGGAUAGCUCGCCGAAAGGCGAAUUAAUACCGCAUGUGAUGAGGGGAGACAUCUUCCCGAAAUCAAAGGUGGCGCAAGCUACCGCUUUUUGAGGAGCCCGCGGCCUAUCAGCUUGUUGGUGAGGUAACGGCUCACCAAGGCGUUGACGGGUAGCUGGUCUGAGAGGACGACCAGUCACACUGGGACUGAGACACGGCCCAGACACCUACGGGUGGCAGCAGUCGAGAAUUUUUCUCAAUGGGGGAAACCCUGAAGGAGC